AUGACUUUGAUCUCCAUCCUCAUCUGGACUGUCCUCUGCUGCUGCUUCACAGAGUCCAGAGGACAGGUCACAGUGACUCAGCCUGGAGCAGUGAGCUCUGCUCUGGGACGCACCGUCACCAUCAGCUGUAGAACCAGUCAGAACGUUUAUAGUUCAAGCUAUUUACACUGGUACCAACAGAGAGAUGGAGACAAACCUAAACUGCUUAUUCGUUAUACUUCCUCUCGAGUAUCAGGGAUUCCAGCUCGUUUUACAGGCAGUGGAUCAAACUCUGACUUCACUCUGACCAUCAGUGGAGUCCAGGCUGAAGAUGCAGCAGUUUACUACUGUCAGAGUUAUCACUAUAUCAACAGUCAGCGUGUGUUCACACAGUGAAAAAGCGUCGUACAA